GCUCAGAUUGAACGCUGGCGGCAGGCCUAACACAUGCAAGUCGGACGGUAGCACAGAGAGCUUGCUCUUGGGUGACGAGUGGCGGACGGGUGAGUAAUGUCUGGGGAUCUGCCCGAUAGAGGGGGAUAACCACUGGAAACGGUGGCUAAUACCGCAUAACGUCGCAAGACCAAAGAGGGGGACCUUCGGGCCUCUCACUAUCGGAUGAACCCAGAUGGGAUUAGCUAGUAGGCGGGGUAAUGGCCCACCUAGGCGACGAUCCCUAGCUGGUCUGAGAGGAUGACCAGCCACACUGGAACUGAGACACGGUCCAGACUCCUACGGGAGGCAGCAGUGGGGAAUAUUGCACAAUGGGCGCAAGCCUGAUGCAGCCAUGCCGCGUGUAUGAAGAAGGCCUUCGGGUUGUAAAGUACUUUCAGCGGGGAGGAAGGCGAUGCGGUUAAUAACCGCGUCGAUUGACGUACCCGCAGAA
rnacentral:rRNA from 1 species